rnacentral:rRNA from 1 species
CCUACGGGAGGCAGCAGUAGGGAAUUUUGCGCAAUGGGGGAAACCCUGACGCAGCAACGCCGCGUGAUCGAUGAAGCCCUUCGGGGUGUAAAGAUCUGUCAGUGGGGACGAAACCUGACGGUACCCACACGAGGAAGAGACGGCUAACUCUGUGCCAGCAGCCGAGGUAAUACAGAGGUCUCAGGCGUUGUUCGGAAUCACUGGGCGUAAAGCGUGCGUAGGCUGUUUCGUAAGUCGUGUGUGCAAGGGGCGGGCUCAACCCGCGGACGGCACAUGAUACUGCGAGACUAGAGUAAUGGAGGGGGAACCGGAAUUCGCGGUGUAGCAGUGAAAUGCGGAGAUAUCGAGAGGAACACUCGUGGCGAAGGCGGGUUCCUGGACAGUAACUGACGCUGAGGCACGAAGGCCAGGGGAGCGAAAGGGAUUAGAUACCCGUGUAGUC